ACACAUCAGGAAAAGAAAAACUUGCAUAAAUAUUUCAAUACCAAAUUUAUUCAGACAUCACGAGAUUAAUAAAAGUUAUCUUUGGCCUCUACAAUUACAAGAGGUGCUCAAAGUGGUGGCCACUGGCUUCCAGACAUUUCUGUUGUGUUGUAGACGUCACUUGUUGAUGCUCCAUUCAUGAGGGUAACGCCAUCUGUUGGGAAAACAUCGUACAACAGGACACAAAGUUAUCGUGAUUUGAUCAAACUUAGAACGAGGAAUCUAUAUGUGUAGAAGUACUUAUACAAAUGAAAUAUUUAUAAAAGUUUUUCUUUUCCUGAUGUGUGUACAUUAUUUUGGCUGACUCUGAACUUAAUGAGAACAAAACUGUCAUUUAAUUGUUGCUCUGAAAGCUUCUUUAGUGAAAACCAGCUGGUGUUCUGCUUUGAAACAAACUGCUGUUGAGGUCUGUGUUUUUAUGUUUAACCCCACAGUUUCUGAAUGAACUGAUUGUUUUUUUUCCUGAUCAAUGUGGACGUUAUAAUUGAUGGUAACAUUUACUGAUCAUAUAAUCAGCAUGACAAUAUAACAGUAUAACAUUCUGACCACCUGACUAAUACUGUGUUGGUCCCUUUAUGCUGCUAAAACUCCUCUGACCCAGUGGUUCAUCAGAACCUCUGGGGAUGUCCUGUGGAUUCUGUGGAUCCUGUGGGUUGCAGGGUGGGUCCUACCUAGACCAGACUGAUCCUGGACCAUCCCACAGAUGCUCAAUCAGAUCUGGAUGUGGGGAGUGUGGAACCCAGAUGUUCAGAGGGAGAUGAUGCCACAUCUGGUCCAGCUGAUGGAAGGUCUUGAAGUUCUCUGACUGGCCUCGACUGAAGAUGGUCGUCUCACUGGAUUUAAGGUUCAGAUGCUCAGUAACAAACUCCACCAAUGUGCCAACAGGGAAGCUUUAGGUUUAUUAAAUGUUGCUAUGAAGGUUUCGCUGUUUUUCUUUGUGAAUGCAAUGUGCUCCAACUGAAACUUGAAUUAGAACUUAGAAGUAAAUCCUUCCAUCUGAAAGGAUUUAGUUGCAUUAAUAACCUCAUAACAUUCUAAUUUUUAUUCCAGUCUUAGUUGGAAAUAGAAUCUCUGUAUUGAUUCAGGUAAAAACUGAACUUCACAGCAUGUUGAAGCAAAACAACCAGAUGAAAACUGUGAUGGUGUUGGAUUGUCAGACCGUAAUAUUGCAGCUCAAAGCAGCUUUUCUAUCUCAGUUCAUUCUGACAUUCAGCUAUGAAUCAACACAGCAGAUGGUGAUCCAUGCUGUGGAAGUCUCACAUCUCCUGAUUUAAUGGAGCUGCUUUGCACUUUUUACACUGUUUAUUCACCAACACUUUAUUUAAUAAAAGUCCCAUCUAGUUUUUAUGAGGAAUGUGAUGUUUUAAUUUCUCUGUGAAUAACUGCAGUCUAAUGCAACAGCUGGAGUUGUAACAUCUGUCCUGAUAUUGAUCAUGAAGUAUUGAUCAGAAUACUGAUGAUCAGCAGUCAUCCCUGAAGUUUUAUAUUAAAAUCUUUACUUGUGUUGUGAACUUUGGUAAGAAGCAGAAACUUUUGCGUUGCCAUGGAUAUAUGAGUGUUAAAUUCUGUCCAUGUUUCCAUUUUGGGAAAUGCAGUCCAGUUCCAGAAUGUGGAGGAAUUUAGUCUCACAAUCACAGACAACAAAUACUAUCUGAAAGUCGGGUUAUUGUUGUUUAUCAGCACAAUACAAAAAGAUUAAUGUUAGAAAUAUUCCAGUUAAGACUCUAGAAUAUCAUGAUUUAUGUAAAUUUACCUCAAUAAUAUGAAUGUUCAGGUUAAGAUUGUACAGUGAUAUUUAUUAUGUUAGUUUAGCUGACUAAAGUUUAUGACUCUGCACUACAAUAUUAUUUAAAUUGACAUCAUUAUUAUAAUAUUUAGGGUCAGACCCUACAGUAUUGAGAUUAAGAAAUCAAAUAUUCUAUAAAAUGUAAAUACACUGAACUCAUUUGGAUAUAUUUAAGUGAGACUCUACAAUAUUAUUUGACACAAAUCUAUCUAAAUCAAAAUUUUAAUCAUUUUCACGCCAAACAUUUACUGGACUGAUUUAAAUAUUAAAAUCACUCCUUUCUAAUCCUCUGCUGUACGUUCAAACCUGAGGCCUUAAAUAGAAACACACAAGUAUCUGUUUGAAGGAACUUCUGCAGAGUCCUGGUUCCAGAAGAUGAUGAUAGAAUUAUAGACAAACUUUAACAGAAGCUGCCUGAGAGUUUACAGGUUUUUAUGUUGGAUUUCUUCAGUAAUUUAAUGAGAGUUAUCAGCAAAAAUCAAGUGUUCAUUUGAUGAACUUCAUUUCCUAAAACAUACAGAAUUGGAGCUCAUAUCUUUGGCAGCUGUAAAGUUUCUGCUCCUUCAAAGUUCACAACACAAUGAAUGAAUUCCUAAAACACUCUCAAUGCUGGAGAGCGUUUGUGAUGCUGAAGCAAUGAUCAGUUUUUCUGUUUCUUCUCUGGAGAUGCACAAUGAGGGACGUCUGCAGAGACUGAGAAAGAGUCUCACCACAUCCUGACAUGAGGAAAAAGACUUUAUUGAAGACUACAAUGAGAAAAACUAUCAGACAGCAGACGGCUGCAUUCAAGAGAAGAAGACCAUCAAACAUCCAUGUCAGCUGAUGGAGGUCCAAGAGUCUCACCAAACAAACAACCUACAGAGUGAAGACCUCAAAUCUGAUUGGACGGCCUCCUAUUCAGCCACGUGUGAACAAAUGUCUCCAAGUUGAUUUGUUUUCUAAAAUAAAUCUAGUUUGAGUCCUAA